rnacentral:rRNA from 1 species
CCCAAACCAAUAAAGUUUUCUUUAUUGGGGUUGCGGACAUAUCAUAACGAAGAGGUAUCGUAAUUGAAGAGGUUUGGAAAGACCCACCACAGAAGGUAAUAGUCCUGUAUGUUAAACGAGAAGACUUUAGAUAUGAUCCAGAGUACCACGGGACACGUGAAACCCUGUGGGAAGCAGGAGGGACCACCCUCCAAGGCUAAAUACUACCUAGUGACCGAUAGCGUAUAGUACCGUGAGGGAAAGGUGAAAAGAACCCCGGGAGGGGAGUGAAAUAGAACCUGAAACCCUGUACUUACAAGCUGUGGAAGCACAUUUCUUGUGUGACCGCGUACUUUUUGUAGAACGGGCCAACGAGUUACGUUAAGUAGCAAGGUUAAGCACUUAAGGUGUGGAGCCGUAGCGAAAGCGAGUUUUAACUGAGCGUUCAGUUACUUGACGUAGACCCGAAACCGGGCGACCUACCCAUGAGCAGGAUGAAGCGAAAGUAAAAUUUCGUGGAGGUCCGAACCCACGAGCGUUGAAAAGCUCGGGGAUGACUUGUGGGUAGCGGUGAAAUUCCAAUCGAGCCCGGAGAUAGCUGGUUCUCCCCGAAAUAGCUUUAGGGCUAGCCUCAAGGUGAGAGAUACGGAGGUAGAGCACUGAAUGUCCUAGGGGGUAUUGCACCUACCGAAGACUAUCAAACUCCGAAUGCCGUCAUCUUAUACUUGGGAGUCAGACUGUGGGUGAUAAGAUUCAUAGUCGAAAGGGCAACAGCCCAGAUCGUCAGCUAAGGUCCCUAAAUGUAAGUUAAGUGGUAAAGGAUGUGGGAUUGCACAGACAACCAGGAUGUUGGCUUAGAAGCAGCCACUCAUUCAAAGAGUGCGUAAUAGCUCACUGGUCGAGUGAUCCUGCGCCGAAGAUUUCCGGGGCUAAAACUUACUACCGAAGCUACGGCAUCAGUAAUGAUGGGUAGGGGAGCUUCCCAUACGGGUUGAAGCAUGACCGUAAGGACAUGUGGACAGUAUGGGAGUGAGAAUGUUGGCAUGAGUAGCGAGAUGUGGGUG